rnacentral:rRNA from 1 species
CAAGGCGACGACGGGUAGCCGGCCUGAGAGGGUGUCCGGCCACACUGGGACUGAGAUACGGCCCCAGACUCUACGGGAGGCAGCAGUGGGGAAUAUUGCACAAUGGGCGCAAGCCUGAUGCAGCGACGCCGCGUGAGGGAUGACGGCCUUCGGGUUGUAAACCUCUUUCAGUAUCGACGAAGCGCAAGUGACGGUAGGUACAGAAGAAGCACCGGCCAACUACGUGCCAGCAGCCGCGGUAAUACGUAGGGUGCGAGCGUUGUCCGGAAUUACUGGGCGUAAAGAGCUCGUAGGUGGUUUGUCGCGUUGUUCGUGAAAACUCACAACUCAAUUGUGGGCGUGCGGGCGAUACGGGCAGACUGGAGUACUGCAGGGGAGACUGGAAUUCCUGGUGUAGCGGUGGAAUGCGCAGAUAUCAGGAGGAACACCGGUGGCGAAGGCGGGUCUCUGGGCAGUAACUGACGCUGAGGAGCGAAAGCGUGGGGAGCGAACAGGAUUAGAUACCCUGGUAGUCCACGCCGUAAACGGUGGGUACUAGGUGUGGGUUUCCUUCCUUGGGAUCCGUGCCGUAGCUAACGCAUUAAGUACCCCGCCUGGGGAGUACGGCCGCAAGGCUAAAACUCAAAGGAAUUGACGGGGGCCCGCACAAGCGGCGGAGCAUGUGGAUUAAUUCGAUGCAACGCGAAGAACCUUACCUGGGUUUGACAUGCACAGGACGCGUCUAGAGAUAGGCGUUCCCUUGUGGCCUGUGUGCAGGUGGUGCAUGGCUGUCGUCAGCUC